rnacentral:rRNA from 1 species
UCGGGAAUUUUGGGCAAUGGGCGAAAGCCUGACCCAGCAACGCCGCGUGAAGGAUGAAGUAUUUCGGUAUGUAAACUUCGAAAGAAUAGGAAGAAUAAAUGACGGUACUAUUUAUAAGGUCCGGCUAACUACGUGCCAGCAGCCGCGGUAAUACGUAGGGACCAAGCGUUGUUCGGAUUUACUGGGCGUAAAGGGCGCGUAGGCGGCGUAAUAAGUCACUUGUGAAAUCUCCGGGCUUAACUCGGAGCGGCCAAGUGAUACUGUUAGGCUAGAGUGCAGAAAGGGCAAUCGGAAUUCUUGGUGUAGCGGUGAAAUGCGUAGAUAUCAAGAGGAACACCUGAGGCGAAGGCGGGUUGCUAGGCUGACACUGACGCUGAGGCGCGAAAGCUAGGGUAGCAAACGGGAUUAGAUACCCUCGUAGUCCCUGAGCGGGCUGGCAAGGCGCAU